ensembl:rRNA 5S_rRNA 5S ribosomal RNA
GUCUAUGGCUACACUGCCCUGAACGCACCCGGUCUUGUAUGAUCUCAGAAGCUAAGCAGGGUCAGACCUGGUUAGUACUAGGGUGGGAGAACACUUAUGUGGCGAUGGCCC